UCAUAUGGAUGAGCAAAGAAAGUGGUUUCUUAAUAUGGAAUCUACUUCCUGGUGAAAGUGCUGUGAA
rnacentral:pre_miRNA from 1 species